rnacentral:misc_RNA from 1 species
CUGCCCUCAAGCGCGGCUUGUGUGUUGGGUGCGGUCCCCCCGGGGACCUGCCCGAAAGGCAGCGGCGACGUCCGUUGGGUCCUCGAGCGUAUGGGGCUUUGUCACUCGCUCGGGAAGGACCUGCGGGGGUUGGUCACCACCAUAUUUUACCAC